rnacentral:rRNA from 1 species
CCUACGGGGCGCAGCAGUGGGGGAUAUUGCACAAUGGGGGGAACCCUGAUGCAGCGACGCCGCGUGGGUGAAGGAGCGUUUCGGCGCGUAAAGCCCUAUCGGCAGGGAAGAAGAUGACGGUACCUGACCAAGAAGCCCCGGCUAACUACGUGCCAGCAGCCGCGGUAAUACGUAGGGGGCAAGCGUUAUCCGGAAUCACUGGGCGUAAAGGGCGCGUAGGCGGUAAUAUAAGUCAGAUGUGAAAGGUGGGGGCUCAACCCCUAGAGUGGAACUGAUACUGUAUAACUUGAGUGCGAGAGGGGGAA